rnacentral:lncRNA from 1 species
GAGUGUUGCAGGCCACAAACAGAAAUGCCCAAACUGGACUAGGUGGAGAAGGCAGAUACUUCUGCAGGAGUGUGCAGAAACAAUGAUAUGACAGACCAGCGAGUCCCAGAACCUUUGCUGUUUGCCACUGAGAUGAAAGCCACAGGAAAGGCUUGGCAUCCUGGACCAUCAGCUGAAGGCAUGUGUCAUUCCAGAAAAAAACAUGAUGCUACAUGCAGCUAUCUCAGCCAUGAGAUGAGGGCCUACAGGCAUCUGUCCACCAGAAGAACACUGGGGAUGCCACAGAUUAUACUUGUAAAUCCUCAGAUUAUCAUUAUAAAAACAUGGUAU